rnacentral:lncRNA from 1 species
AGGGGGACGCUCCGGCUGGGAGCAUGUGCCCCACCAGGAUCUGAUCUCCAGGGAGAAGGUCCUGCAGGAGGAACGGCUGUGGGUGGAGCAGCCUGCACAUAUCACCCUAGGAACUGGCCCUCAAGCUCAUCAGGGACCCGUAGUCCCCAGCAGAAGGAUCUUACCAAGUAAACUGUCUACCACAAUGUCCUCCUCCACAAUAGCCCUUCUGUGUCCUCCCUGCACGGAUGCCCGGGGCCCGGCUCCGGUCACUCUGUAGCCAGGGCCAUCCCUCUCUAACUUCUUGGGGCACCUGUGCUCUUCUGGCUCUUAGCUAUGCUGUCCACACUCACCUCUCCUGGUCGACUGCUGAUCUGACUUAUCUUAUGCCCAAGGCUGUCUUGUGCUCCAGGAGGCCCAGAGUUCUAUGUCCCCAUUUCUCUGUGUCCUCACAGCCCUCAACACAAAGCAGGACCCCCCAGUCGCCUUUCUCCUCAAAAUGUUUGGUGAUCAGAGCUCACGGUUUUACAUCACCUCUCACACUGCCAAAACCAGUGUCCUCAACCCUUUAGAAGAGAGGGAAAGCUACCACCAAGCCCCCUGAGGAAGACACACAUAAACACGUGUAGAAAAUGAUUGGUGUGGGGCUGUUGCUGUAGCUCAGUGGCAGAGCUCUUGCCUAGCAGGUGAGGCACUGGGUUCAAUCCUCAGCACCACAUAAAAACAAAUAAAGGCAUGCUAUCCGUCUACAAGUACAAAAAAAAAAUUAAGAAAAUAAAAUGUUUGGUGUAGAUCCCAGGGUUUCAG